rnacentral:rRNA from 1 species
GACGAACGCUGGCGGCGUGCCUAAUACAUGCAAGUCGAGCGAAGUUUUUCUGGUGCUUGCACCGGAAAAACUUAGCGGCGAACGGGUGAGUAACACGUAAAGAACCUGCCUCAUAGACUGGGACAACUAUUGGAAACGAUAGCUAAUACCGGAUAACAGCAUUAACUGCAUGGUUGAUGUUUAAAAGUUGGUUUUGCUAACACUAUGAGAUGGCUUUGCGGUGCAUUAGCUAGUUGGUGGGGUAAAGGCCUACCAAGGCGACGAUGCAUAGCCGACCUGAGAGGGUGAUCGGCCACACUGGGGCUGAGACACGGCCCAGACUCCUACGGGAGGCAGCAGUAGGGAAUCUUCCGCAAUGGGCGAAAGCCUGACGGAGCAACGCCGCGUGAGUGAAGAAGGAUUUCGGUUCGUAAAGCUCUGUUGUUAGGGAAGAAUGAUUGUGUAGUAACUAUACACAGUAGAGACGGUACCUAACCAGAAAGCCACGGCUAACUACGUGCCAGCAGCCGCGGUAAUACGUAGGUGGCAAGCGUUGUCCGGAAUUAUUGGGCGUAAAGCGCGCGCAGGUGGUUUAAUAAGUCUGAUGUGAAAGCCCACGGCUCAACCGUGGAGGGUCAUUGGAAACUGUUAAACUUGAGUGCAGGAGAGAAAAGUGGAAUUCCUAGUGUAGCGGUGAAAUGCGUAGAGAUUAGGAGGAACACCAGUGGCGAAGGCGGCUUUUUGGCCUGUAACUGACACUGAGGCGCGAAAGCGUGGGGAGCAAACAGG